CACGUAGGAGGCAAACGUUAUCCGGAUUUACUGGGCGUAAAGCGCGUGUAGGUGGUUCUGUAAGUAGGGCGUGAAAGCUCCCGGCUCAACUGGGAGAGGCCGUUCUAAACUGCAGAGCUAGAGGAUGGUAGAGGGAGGUGGGAUUCCAGGUGUAGCGGUGGAAUGCGCAGAUAUCUGGAGGAACACCAGUGGCGAAGGCGGCCUCCUGGACCAUUCCUGACACUCAGACGCGAAAGCUAGGGUAGCAAACGGGAUUAGAUACCCGCGUAGU
rnacentral:rRNA from 1 species